rnacentral:rRNA from 1 species
ACACGUAGGGGCCUGACGUUGUUCGGAAUCAUUGGGCGUAAAGGGCGCGCAGGCGGCCGUCCAAGUCCGGUGUUAAAUGGUCGGGCUCAACCCGAUCAUGCGCUGGAAACUGGGCGGCUGGAGUCCCGGAGGGGAUGCCGGAAUUCCAGGUGUAGGGGUGAAAUCUGUAGAUAUCUGGAAGAACACCGAUGGCGAAGGCAGGCAUCUGGCCGGAGACUGACGCUGAGGCGCGAAGGCGCGGGGAGCGAACAGGUUUAGAUACCCUGGUAGUCCGCGCAGUAAACGAUGCGCCCCAGGUGUCGGGCGGCAGCGCCCGGUACCGGAGCAAACGCGAUGAGUGCGCCGCCUGGGGAGUAUGCCCGCAAGGGUGAAACUCAAAUGAAUUGACGGGG